CAGCAGCCAAGAGUCGCGGCGUGCCCCGCUGGGAAAACGAAGGAGGCUCCAUGCAGGCGGGCAGCCCUCAGACCAUUUCAAUCCGGAUGCCCUUUGCGGAUGAAAGAUGUAUCAUGGAAUGAACCCGAACAGCGGGGAUCCGUUCCUAGAGCAGCCGCCGCCGCCGCCGCCGCCGCUCUUUCAGCGUUCCCAGUCUAAACUCUCCCUGGUGGUCUUGUGGUUCCAGUUGGCGCUGUGCUUUGGCCCUGCACAGAUCACAGGCGCCUUGCCUGCCUUGCUGCUUCUCAAGUCAGUGGAUUGUGAAAAGAGAAAGGCUGAAGGUAAAACAGUGUUUUCCUCCUAUUCCAAACCAUUAGAGGAACAACCUCUUAAAUGACUACUUCUUGCCAAGUGUUUUUCCCGGAUGUGCAGGGUCCACUUUUUUUUC